AUUGAACGCUAGCGGCAGGCCUAACACAUGCAAGUCGAGCGGCAGCGGAAAGUAGCUUGCUACUUUGCCGGCGAGCGGCGGACGGGUGAGUAAUGUCUGGGAAACUGCCUGAUGGAGGGGGAUAACUACUGGAAACGGUAGCUAAUACCGCAUAACGUCGCACGACCAAAGAGGGGGACCUUCGGGCCUCUUGCCAUCAGAUGUGCCCAGAUGGGAUUAGCUAGUAGGUGGGGUAACGGCUCACCUAGGCGACGAUCCCUAGCUGGUCUGAGAGGAUGACCAGCCACACUGGAACUGAGACACGGUCCAGACUCCUACGGGAGGCAGCAGUGGGGAAUAUUGCACAAUGGGCGCAAGCCUGAUGCAGCCAUGCCGCGUGUAUGAAGAAGGCCUUCGGGUUGUAAAGUACUUUCAGCGGGGAGGAAGGUGUUGAGGUUAAUAACCUCAGCAAUUGACGUUACCCGCAGAAGAAGCACCGGCUAACUCCGUGCCAGCCGCCGCGGUAAAAC
rnacentral:rRNA from 1 species